UACGUAGGGGGCUAGCGUUGUCCGGAAUCAUUGGGCGUAAAGCGCGUGUAGGCGGUCCGGUAAGUCCGCUGUGAAAGUCGGGGGCUCAACCCUCGGAUGCCGGUGGAUACUGUCGGGCUAGAGUCCGGAAGAGGCAAGUGGAAUUCCUGGUGUAGCGGUGAAAUGCGCAGAUAUCAGGAGGAACACCGAUGGCGAAGGCAGCUUGCUGGGACGGUACUGACGCUGAGACGCGAAAGCGUGGGGAGCAAACAGG
rnacentral:rRNA from 1 species